rnacentral:lncRNA from 1 species
UGGCCGUCUGACCUCGGCAAAUACACGUUUAAUACCGCCGUGAACCGAAGUCUGCCGCUCAGAUUCCCGCUGCUUUGCUAUGCCCUUAGACUGCUCGCGCCUGCAGACUUCCUGUACAACCACCAGCAAGCUGACCAGUCAGGCUUUGUUCAGUUUCCACAUCUGUAAAAUCAGCUCAAAACAUGAAGGAGAUUCUGAGUUUUAUUUAAAAAUAAAAUUGUUGCAGUCAUCUUUUUUGCAAGGAGAGCCUAGGACCUACGGAUAUAGCAGAAGAACACAAGUGGCUGUACCCCAUGCCAGCCUAUCAGGAGGUUUUAAGUGAGAAAAGAAAACUCCCUUCACGCAGUGCAGUGUUUUACUAGUUGAAUCACCCUUCAUGUUCUCAACAGUCGGGGCCCAGCUGUGUUCCAGACCAAAUAAUGACAAGAAAAGUCAGAUGAGCUAAUAGGAGCUGGGAAGGGAGACCAAGACUUGUCCAGAUUAACGAAAGGAUUCAAACCUAUGUCAUCUCAGUCUUAAUGCAGCAUCCCAGUGAUAUAUGCUUAUUUAGCAGUUUACAUCUGGUGCCUAAUCCAAAGUGUAAGCUCAUCUCAUUGCCCCUCCUUGCAUUCCUACGCUAGCUUCGUGCUUUGUGUGACAGCAGUAAGCGUUCAGUGGGUGGGGAACAUGAACUUCACAGCUCCGUGCAAGUCUGUUAAUGCCAGCGCUAAUAGCACUGACAGAAAUAAAUCCAGCCUCUGCACUGAAGAAAACA